AGUACAGAACAGUAUAGUACAGUGGAGUAGAGAGCAGUUUAUCACAGAGAACAGAACAGUAUUGUACAGUAGAGAACAGUAUAGUACAGUAGAGAAAAGUAUAGUACAGUACAGUAGAGAACGGUAUAGUACAGUAGGGAACAGUAUAGUACAGUAGGGUACAGUAGAGCACAGCAGAGAACAGUAUAGCACAGUAAAGAACAGUAUAGUACAGUAGGGCACAGUAGAGUACAGUAGAGAACAGUAUAGUACAGUAGAGAACAGUGGCGUAGAGAGCAGUAUAGUACAGUAGAGUACGGUAGAGAACAGUUUAGUACAGUACAGUAGAGAACAGAACAGUAUAGUGCAGUAGAGAACAGUAUAGUACAGUGGAGUAGAGAACUGUGUAGUACAGUACAGUAGAGAACAGAACAGUAUUAUACAGUAGAGAACAGUAUAGGACAGUACAGUAGAGAACAGUAUAGUACAGUAGAGAACAGAACAGUAUAGUACAGUAUAGUACAGUGGAGUAGAGAACAGUGUAGUACAGUACAGUAGAGAACAGUAUUGUACAGUAGAGAACAGUAUAGUACAGUAGAGAACAGAACAGUAUAGUAGAGAACAGUAUAGUACAGUAUAGUACAGUGGAGUAGAGUAGAGAACAGUAUAGUACAGUGGAGUAGAGUAGAGAACAGUACAGUAGAGAACAGAACAGUAGAGAACAGUAUAGUACAGUACAGUACAGUAGAGAACAGUAUAGUACAGUAGAGAACAGUACAGUAGAGAACAGUAGAGUACAGUAGGGAACAGUAUAGUACAGUAGGGAACAGUAUAGUACAGUAGGGAACAGUAUAGUACAGUAGAGAACAUUAUAGUACAGUAGAGAACAGUGGUGUAGAGAGCAGUAUAGUACGGUAGAGAACAGAACAGUAUAGUAGAGAACAGUAUAGUGCAGUAGAGAACAGUAUAGUACAGUAGAGAACAGUGGCGUAGAGAGCAGUAUAGUACAGUAGAGUACGGUAGAGAACAGAACAGUAUAGUAGAGAACAGUAUAGUGCAGUAGAGAACAGUAUAGUACAGUGGAGUAGAGAAGAGUAUAGUGCAGUGGAGUAGAGAAGAAGUAUAGUGCAGUAGAGAGCAGUAUAGUGCAGUAGAGAACAGUAUAGUACAGUGGAGUAGAGAAGAGUAUAGUACAGUAGAGAACAGUGGCGUAGAGAGCAGUAUAGUACAGUAGAGUACGGUAGAGAACAGUAUAGUAGAGAACAGUAUAGUACAGUGGAGUAGAGAAGAGUACAGUGGAGUAGAGGAGAGUAUAGUGCAGUAGAGAACAGUAUAGUACAGUGGAGUAGAGAAGAG
ensembl:lncRNA